rnacentral:rRNA from 1 species
UACGUAGGGCGCAAGCGUUGUCCGGAAUUAUUGGGCGUAAAGAGCUCGUAGGCGGCCAGUUGCGUCUGCUGUGAAAUCCCGGGGCUCAACCCCGGGCGUGCAGUGGAUACGGGCUGGCUAGAGGCAGGCAGGGGAGAACGGAAUUCCCGGUGUAGCGGUGAAAUGCGUAGAUAUCGGAAGGAACAUCAGUGGCGAAAGCGGCUUCCUGGACCAGCACCGACGUUCAGGCACGAAAGCGUGGGGAGCAAACAGG